rnacentral:rRNA from 1 species
AACGCACCUUGCGCUCCUUGGUAUUCCGAGGAGCAUGCCUGUUUGAGUGUCAUGGUAUUCUCAAUCCAUUCAAUACUGUCAAAGGUAUUGGAUUGGUAUUGGAUGUGGAGGAUUAUUGCUGGUCUCUUUAUUGAGUAUCAGCUCCUCUGAAAUGCAUUAGUGUGAAUGUUUACCGAGCAUUUUCUCAGUGUGAUAAUUAUCUACGCUGUGAUUGUGAAAGCAUUAUGGGAUCUGCUUCUAACUGUCUACUUGUUUAGACAAUUUAUUUAACAUCUGACCUCAAAUCAGGUAGGACUACCCGCUGAACUUAA